GCCGCCGUAGCUCAGCGGUUAGAGCGCCCGGCUCAUAACCGGGAGGUCGCGGGUUCGAAUCCCGCCGGCGGCA
rnacentral:tRNA from 1 species